AACAACUUCUUUACUUCGUGAGUGCGACGUUUUGAUACAGAUCGUUCCUGCUCGACAACGGUACACGAAUCUAUAUCGAAACGUCGCACUUACCAAAUAAAGAAGUUGUUAUCCAUAAACAAUCUUACUUUCC